GUGCCAUGUAAGUGAUGCGCUCUGUGCACACUGGUAAAAAUCCCUGGAUACAUUAUCUACAAUUAUAGACAUGAGUUAUUUUGAAACCAAAUUUACCAUGAAUUAAUCUACUCUUUAGUAAAGGAGAUUGAGGUGUGGGAGUUAAAGGACAUGAUGACACAAGAAUGUGAAAUAUCAGGCCACUGGUGGGCAUCCUGGAAGGCAGCAGGUUAUGGUUCAAGUAGUUCAGUUCUUGCCAUUCAGUAGUAGACUUGAGUUGAAUUCCUUGGUGCUGAAUUCAGUGUGGCCCAUCUCCAGCAACCGUGGGAAUUUGGGGGAAUGACGCAGCAGAUGUUUAAUUUCUGUAGGGCAAGAGAAAAACAGAUUGAAUCCAGUCUUCUAUUUCACUCCCUAAUUACCUACAACAACCAAUAUUGGGCUGCAAUCAACUUCCGUAGCUCAGAACUCAAUCCAGUUCUCGCCUGUGGAUAGCAGGAGCCCAGCUACUUGAGCCAUCACCUGCGACCAUAUUAGCGGGAAGCUGGAGUCAGGAGCCACAGUUGUGCACUGAACUCAAGAACUUCUGCGUAGGACAUAGGUGUCCUAACUGAUGGUUAACCUCUAAGCCAACCACCCAUCCCUUAUUUUAUUUGCAUAUCACAUACAGCACACUUUGGGUAAUGUGCCUCAAUAU